GAGUGGAUUGGAAUGGACAAUAGAAUGUAAGGCCCACAUUCACUUUACCUUCAGUUUGACAUUUAUUACAAACUAGCACUUCAAUAUGGACACCUGACUCUUCACUUGGAUUUUCUGGAUGUUUUGAAGAUGGAGACCUAGCUCGAUCCCAGAUCUUUUAUGCAGUCGGUGUGACAAUGACCACGCGGAUUUGGUAAGAUGGCACCAACGGAUAUAGGAUCAGGCUAAUGGAAACCCACUGUACCCACAUUCAGCUGGUCGUCUACCUACCAUUCCGAGAGGUGCAGCUGGAGUUGGUGGAGCCAGCUAAGUGCAAGUAUGUUCUCUAGACGCUGAGACCCCCACAGCAGGCCCGCUGUGUGCUGGACUAGAGAGAGAGAGAGGCAGGACUCUGUGGGUCCUCUGAUCUACCCCAGAGAGGAUGGCCACUGGGCCAUGGUGGGGGUCACCUCCUGGGGGAAGGCUGUGGCCGGAGCCGGAUCAACAACAAGGCCGAGUCUCCAGCCAAGAUAGGAUCCCCGGGGGUCUUUACUGAUGUCAAGAUGCUCCUGCCCUGGAUCGAGAGGAAACUCGGAAGGUCAUCUAACACGUUUUAGUCAGUGUGAGCCAUGCAGCGUCGGGAUGUGGCACCGUGGCACUAGUCCAGGAUCAGAGGGCCGUUCAGAGUUUCAACUACCCACAAUCCUACAGCAACAACUCUGCCUACCACUGGGUCUGCCCCCCAGGAUCAUGUUGUCAAGGUGACACAUGUUGACCUAUACCUCUUAUGCAGAGGGGGCUUUAAUAUUUUGUGUAUUGUCCUGUGCAAGGCCAUUGUGACCGAAGGGAUACCCCAGAUCUCUGAUUGCUCCCAGUGGAAUCAUGAAUACGGUCUCUGGUGUGGAUGGGAUCAGUUUACCUGUACUGGAAAGAAUGUGUUACUCACUUUGAUGCAACCAUAACAACAAUAAUAACAGCAACAGACUGCAAUAGUGUUGCUGCACAUGUCACAUUUUUUUUGCUGAAAUUACAAUUAUUUAAGAGUUUACAGCUUAGUGCAAGGAUGAUGUUGUAUUCCUUUGUUAUUUUAUUCUCUUAUCUUGCGGCGUGACUUCGAUGACUUUGACUUGGAGCAGUCAGAUGACUGCAGUCUGGUUCGCUGAUUUGUACUUGGAGAUGUGGACGCAAAUCAAAUGUUAUUAGUCACAUACACAAGGUUAGAAAAUGUCAAUGCGAGUGUGGUGAAAUGCUUGUGCUUCUAUUUCCGACAGUGCAAUAAUAUCUAACAAGUAAUUUAACAAUUCCCUAACAACUACCUAAUACACAGAAAUCUUAAGGGAUGGAAUAAGAAUAUGUAAGUAUAUGGAUGAGCGAUGGGCGAGUGGCAUAGGCAAGGUGCAGUAGAUGGUAUAAAAUACAGUAAAUACAUGUGAUAUGAGUUAUGAGUUAUGUAAACAUGAUUAAAGUGGCAUUAUUUAGAGUG